rnacentral:rRNA from 1 species
CAGCCGCCGCGGGAAUACGGAGGGUGCAAGCGUUAAUCGGAAUUACUGGGCGUAAAGCGCACGCAGGCGGUCUGACAAGUCAGAUGUGAAAUCCCCGGGCUUAACCUGGGAACUGCAUUUGAAACUGUCAGGCUGGAGUCUUGUAGAGGGGGGUGGAAUUCCAGGUGUAGCGGUGAAAUGCGUAGAGAUCUGGAGGAAUACCGGUGGCGAAGGCGGCCCCCUGGACAAAGACUGACGCUCAGGUGCGAAAGCGUGGGGAGCAAACAGGAUUAGAGACCCGUGUAGUCCCUGUCUCUUAUAU